rnacentral:lncRNA from 1 species
CUAGAACCCACUGAAGAAACGGAUGAAACAAAGUUGGUCUUGGGUAUUAUCAUCAAAGUGGUCUCCUUUUUCCGUGCAGACUUUGAAUGCUGAUACUGAACUGAAUUCACAGGAACACAGCAGAGUUUAAUAUAUGCUUGGACCUGACAGAAGAUCUAGGGAGUUAUUAAAGAAAUAACCAAGACAUGAAUGCAAGCCCCUCAGGAAUAAUUUCAC